UUUUAGCCCCGAUUGAAGCGGCAUCCUUUUUCUUUAAAAAAAGAAAAAGAUACAGCGGAAAGCGGGACCUGAU
rnacentral:sRNA from 1 species